rnacentral:rRNA from 1 species
CGGUGGAAUGCGUAGAUAUCAAGAGGAACGCCGAUGGUGAAGACAGUGCGCUGGGCUUGUCCUGACGUUGAGCUGCGAAAGCGUGGGGAGCGAACGGGAUUAGAUACCCCGGUAGUUCACGCCGUAAACGAUGCCUAAUAGGUCGUGGUUGUUGUGUCACACUCACGGCCGAAGCAAAAGUGUUUAGUAGGCCGCCUGGGGAGUACGGUGGCAAGGCUAAAACUCAAAGGAAUUGAAGGGGGCUCACUCAAGCGCUGGAGCAGGGGGAUUAAUUCGAAGCAACGCGCAGAACCUUACCUGGGUUUGACAUGUAUGGAUCCCUGCUGUGAAAACAAUUAGGGUGAGCUUCGGGUGAAAAUUACACAGGUGAGGCAUGGCUGUCGUCAGCUCGUGUCGUGAGAUGUCGGGUUAAGUCCUUUAACGAGCGAAACCCACCCCUUUAUUUUCCACCGGGUCAUGCCGGGGGGUCUAUUCAGGGCUGCCGGCGUCAAACCCGAGGAAGGAGGGGGGGAAGUCAAAUACUCAUGGCCGUUAUUUCCAGGGCGUCACACUCUUUACAAUGUGUGCUACAGACAGACGCGAGACCGCGAGGUGGGGCUAAUCACAAAAAAGC